rnacentral:rRNA from 1 species
AACGAACGCUGGCGGCAUGCCUAACACAUGCAAGUCGAACGAGAAGCUAUCUUCGGGUAGUGGAAAGUGGCGCACGGGUGAGUAACGCGUGGGAACCUGCCCUGAGGUUCGGAAUAACGAUUGGAAACGGUCGCUAAUACCGGAUGAGCCCUGAGGGGGAAAGAUUUAUCGCCUUGGGAGGGGCCCGCGUCCGAUUAGCUUGUUGGUGUGGUAACGGCGCACCAAGGCUUCGAUCGGUAGCUGGUCUGAGAGGAUGAUCAGCCACACUGGGACUGAGACACGGCCCAGACUCCUACGGGAGGCAGCAGUGGGGAAUAUUGGACAAUGGGGGCAACCCUGAUCCAGCAAUGCCGCGUGUGUGAAGAAGGCCUUAGGGUUGUAAAGCACUUUCAGUCGUGACGAUGAUGACGGUAACGACAGAAGAAGCCCCGGCUAACUCCG